rnacentral:rRNA from 1 species
UGAUUGAGCGGCCGAUACAGAUUAGCUAGUUGGUGAGGUAAAGGCUCACCAAGGCGACGACCUGUAGCGGGUCUGAGAGGAUGAUCCGCCACACUGGAACUGAGACACGGUCCAGACUCCUACGGGAGGCAGCAGUGGGAAUUUUGGACAAUGGGGCAACCCUGAUCCAGCCAUGCCGCGUGAGUGAAGAAGGCCUUCGGGUUGUAAAGCUCUUUCGGCCGGGAAGAAAUCGCAUGGGCUAAUACCCUGUGCGGAUGACGGUACCGGCAUAAGAAGCACCGGCUAACUACGUG